GCCCGCCUGGCGCAAUGGUGGCGCGCCAGACUUCUAGGAUCUGGAGGCUGCGGGUUCGAGCCCCGCGGUGGGUU
rnacentral:tRNA from 1 species